rnacentral:lncRNA from 1 species
CUUGGACACAUUUCCACGUUGAGUCAGCACGAUGUAGUAACUUCCAUCGAUCUCAAAUUUGGGAGUGUCUGAGACGACGAGAUUGCCGUUGUCUUUGUGGCCAAGUAGUAAUCCUUGUUGGGAGAUCUUAUGCAAGUGUCCGAGUACAUUUUGAAGUAUUCUUCGAGACGAUCAAUGAUGUGGAAGCUGCAAGUUAAGACAAAAGAAAGUUGAGAGACUCGAAAACAUCAAAUUGGAAUUCUAAAGCUAGAAACUGACAUAUGAAUAUCUUGCAUGAAGUCGUUCUGAAGCUUAACCCAUGCAUUGGCCCUGUGAUCGACAACUAGUUUGUAGUUGGAAUCUUGGGGCAAAGGUUUUCCCAGUGUUUCUGCUGGCUUUUCCUUAUACGACUUGACAACUUGCCCCAGAGAUGUCAAUGUGAUGCACCAGUUCCAGAGGCCUUGGCACCUGGAGGAUGAUUGAACACCUUGAAAUCGCCACUUUCAUCGUCAAGCAGCAGAUAAAACUCUCUUCUCACAGAGCGAAUGCGCUGAUCGGGGAACAUCUUCUCAUUCACUCUCAGCUCAAACAUUCAUUGCUCAUGGCUCUUGAAC